rnacentral:lncRNA from 1 species
UGUGUUAUCAGCAAAUCUUAGAGAAAACAAAGGGGGAAUUCACGUAUUAUUCAUAUUAUGUACUACGUCACUGGUAGGCGCUCUCUUAUGCAGCAUAAUUAUGGCGAUGCUUGUACACUUGGAGGCCAACUUCCAUUGCCCCGCAUGCGCUCUUGAGGUUAUGUGCUAUGUCACCUUGGGAUUGCUGAUGUUAUCAGGGAUCCUUGCAUUUGCUUUACUGCAAGUUUUAGC